GAUGAACGCUGGCGGCGUGCUUAACACAUGCAAGUCGAACGGUGAACGAGGGAGCUUGCUCCCUCCGGAUCAGUGGCGAACGGGUGAGUAACACAUGAGUAACCUGCCCUUGACUCUGGGAUAAGCGUUGGAAACGACGUCUAAUACCGGAUACGACGCGCGAAGGCAUCUUCUGCGCGUGGAAAGAACUUCGGUCAAGGAUGGACUCGCGGCCUAUCAGCUAGUUGGUGAGGUAACGGCUCACCAAGGCGACGACGGGUAGCCGGCCUGAGAGGGUGACCGGCCACACUGGGACUGAGACACGGCCCAGACUCAUACGGGAGGCAGAAGUGGGGAAUAUUGCACAAUGGGCGCAAGCCUGAUGCAGCAACGCCGCGUGAGGGACGACGGCCUUCGGGUUGUAAACCUCUUUUAGUAGGGAAGAAGCGAAAGUGACGGUACCUGCAGAAAAAGCACCGGCUAACUACGUGCCAGCCGCCGCCGUAAUAC
rnacentral:rRNA from 1 species